UCCUACUCUUCUUUCUUCUUCCCUCAAUUUUUUUUUUUUUCCUUCAACAAUGGAAGAACACACUGAUUAUGAAGAUUCUGAUGAUAUAUUUUUCUUCUUCUUCUUCGGUGUAAAAUAUAUAUCAUGAUCAAGUGAUUACUUUCUUUGGGCAACUACCCAUCCUUUGGCAAAUUAAAACACUCGGCUCAAGAUUCAAGACUAUUUAAUUAGAGAUAUAUUUGUAUUUUUUGUCUAGAGGCCAGGCAGCCCGAUUCGUCACAAGGUUUACCUUUAACUUAGAAGUGUGACGAAGACAAUCUAUCCUAGUGAUUGAUUCCGCGGCUCGCACAUGUGGCCAUACGAUACAAUUUUCUUUUCUACUUUGUUUUGAAUCUAUCUUUUUUUAUAACAUCUUUUUUGAUAUAUAUACUCCAAAUAUAAAUGCAUGCACAUGGUGAAAACAUACAGAAUAUCGGAGGAAUUUUAGAGAGAGAAAGUAGAGAGAAGGGAGAGGA
rnacentral:lncRNA from 1 species